GUGCCGCGCCGCUAAAGCGCGUGGACAUGGACACGACGGGCAGCAUGGACACGGCCCGGCUGCACUCGGCCUCCUCCUCCGCGUCCAGCCUCUCCAACAGAUCCCUGGAAAACCCCACCCCCCCCUACACGCCAAAGAUGGGGCGCAGGAGCAUGGAUUCUCCCAGCCUGGGCCUGCGGGACA